rnacentral:rRNA from 1 species
AUUGAACGCUGGCGGCAGGCCUAACACAUGCAAGUCGAGCGAGCGGCGGACGGGUGAGUAAUGUAUGGGGACUGCCCGAUAGAGGGGGAUAACUACUGGAAACGGUGGCUAAUACCGCAUACUAUCGGAUAACCCAUAUGGGAUUAGCUAGUAGGUGGGGUAAAGGCUCACCUAGGCGACGAUCUCUAGCUGGUCUGAGAGGAUGAUCAGCCAAACUGGGACUGAGAAACGGGCCAGACUCCUACGGAGGCAGCAGUGGGGAAUAUUGGACAAUUGGCGGAAGCCUGAUGCAGCCAUGGCGGGUGUAAGGAAAAGGCCUUAGGGUUGGAAAGUACUUUCAGCGGGGAAGCGUUUCCCGCCGGAGAAGCACCGGCUAACCCCGUGGCAGCAGCCGCGGUAAUUC